CCCAGCGUUAAAACGCUGGGCUAUUGGCGGGCUGUCCCUCCGGGACG
rnacentral:sRNA from 1 species